rnacentral:rRNA from 1 species
AGCGCAUACGGUGGAUGCCUUGGCAGUCAGAGGCGAUGAAAGACGUGGUAGCCUGCGAAAAGCUUCGGGGAGUCGGCAAACAGACUGUGAUCCGGAGAUGUCUGAAUGGGGGAACCCAGCCAUCAUAAGAUGGUUAUCUUGUACUGAAUACAUAGGUGCAAGANNNNNNNNNNNNNNNNNNNNNNNNNNNGGCCAUAGUGGGUGAUAGCCCUGUACGCGAAAAUCCCUUUGCAAUGAAAUCGAGUAGGACGGGGCACGAGAAACCUUGUCUGAAUAUGGGGGGACCAUCCUCCAAGGCUAAAUACUACUGACUGACCGAUAGUGAACCAGUACCGUGAGGGAAAGGCGAAAAGAACCGCGGAGAGCGGAGUGAAAUAGAUCCUGAAACCGUAUGCGUACAAGCAGUGGGAGCCCACUUUGUUGGGUGACUGCGUACCUUUUGUAUAAUGGGUCAGCGACUUAUUUUCAGUGGCGAGCUUAACCGAAUAGGGGAGGCGUAGCGAAAGCGAGUCUUAAUAGGGCGUCUAGUCGCUGGGAAUAGACCCGAAACCGGGCGAUCUAUCCAUGGGCAGGUUGAAGGUUGGGUAACACUAACUGGAGGACCGAACCGACUACCGUUGAAAAGUUAGCGGAUGACCUGUGGAUCGGAGUGAAAGGCUAAUCAAGCUCGGAGAUAGCUGGUUCUCCUCGAAAGCUAUUUAGGUAGCGCCUCAUGUAUCACUGUAGGGGGUAGAGCACUGUUUCGGCUAGGGGGUCAUCCCGACUUACCAAACCGAUGCAAACUCCGAAUACCUACAAGUGCCGAGCAUGGGAGACACACGGCGGGUGCUAACGUCCGUCGUGAAAAGGGAAACAACCCAGACCGUCAGCUAAGGUCCCAAAGUCAUGGUUAAGUGGGAAACGAUGUGGGAAGGCUUAGACAGCUAGGAGGUUGGCUUAGAAGCAGCCACCCUUUAAAGAAAGCGUAAUAGCUCACUAGUCGAGUCGGCCUGCGCGGAAGAUGUAACGGGGCUCAAACCAUGCACCGAAGCUACGGGUAUCAUCUUUUGAUGAUGCGGUAGAGGAGCGUUCUGUAAGCCUGUGAAGGUGAGUUGAGAAGCUUGCUGGAGGUAUCAGAAGUGCGAAUGCUGACAUGAGUAACGACAAUGGGUGUGAAAAACACCCACGCCGAAAGACCAAGGUUUCCUGCGCAACGUUAAUCGACGCAGGGUUAGUCGGUCCCUAAGGCGAGGCUGAAAAGCGUAGUCGAUGGAAAACAGGUUAAUAUUCCUGUACUUCUGGUUAUUGCGAUGGAGGGACGGAGAAGGCUAGGCCAGCCUGGCGUUGGUUGUCCAGGUUUAAGGUGGUAGGCUGAGAUCUUAGGUAAAUCCGGGAUCUCAAGGCCGAGAGCUGAUGACGAGUGUUCUUUAGAACACGAAGUGGUUGAUGCCAUGCUUCCAAGAAAAGCUUCUAAGCUUCAGGUAACCAGGAACCGUACCCCAAACCGACACAGGUGGUUGGGUAGAGAAUACCAAGGCGCUUGAGAGAACUCGGGUGAAGGAACUAGGCAAAAUGGCACCGUAACUUCGGGAGAAGGUGCGCCGGUGAGGGUGAAGCAUUUACUGCGUAAGCCCACGCCGGUCGAAGAUACCAGGCCGCUGCGACUGUUUAUUAAAAACACAGCACUCUGCAAACACGAAAGUGGACGUAUAGGGUGUGACGCCUGCCCGGUGCCGGAAGGUUAAUUGAUGGGGUUAGCGCAAGCGAAGCUCUUGAUCGAAGCCCCGGUAAACGGCGGCCGUAACUAUAACGGUCCUAAGGUAGCGAAAUUCCUUGUCGGGUAAGUUCCGACCUGCACGAAUGGCGUAACGAUGGCGGCGCUGUCUCCACCCGAGACUCAGUGAAAUUGAAAUCGCUGUGAAGAUGCAGUGUAUCCGCGGCUAGACGGAAAGACCCCGUGAACCUUUACUAUAGCUUUGCACUGGACUUUGAAUUUGCUUGUGUAGGAUAGGUGGGAGGCUUUGAAGCGUGGACGCCAGUCUGCGUGGAGCCAACCUUGAAAUACCACCCUGGCAACUUUGAGGUUCUAACUCAGGUCCGUUAUCCGGAUCGAGGACAGUGUAUGGUGGGUAGUUUGACUGGGGCGGUCUCCUCCUAAAGAGUAACGGAGGAGUACGAAGGUGCGCUCAGACCGGUCGGAAAUCGGUCGUAGAGUAUAAAGGCAAAAGCGCGCUUGACUGCGAGACAGACACGUCGAGCAGGUACGAAAGUAGGUCUUAGUGAUCCGGUGGUUCUGUAUGGAAGGGCCAUCGCUCAACGGAUAAAAGGUACUCCGGGGAUAACAGGCUGAUACCGCCCAAGAGUUCAUAUCGACGGCGGUGUUUGGCACCUCGAUGUCGGCUCAUCACAUCCUGGGGCUGAAGCCGGUCCCAAGGGUAUGGCUGUUCGCCAUUUAAAGUGGUACGCGAGCUGGGUUUAGAACGUCGUGAGACAGUUCGGUCCCUAUCUGCCGUGGACGUUUGAGAUUUGAGAGGGGCUGCUCCUAGUACGAGAGGACCGGAGUGGACGAACCUCUGGUGUUCCGGUUGUCACGCCAGUGGCAUUGCCGGGUAGCUAUGUUCGGAAAAGAUAACCGCUGAAAGCAUCUAAGCGGGAAACUUGCCUCAAGAUGAGAUCUCACUGGAACCUUGA